rnacentral:misc_RNA from 1 species
AAAAAAAAAGAUAAAAAAAAUAAAAACUCAAAUCCGCCCUCCCCUUUCGCCUCACGAACUCUAAUGGACUCCUUCACUCUCCUCUUCUCUCUCUCUCUACUCCUCUUCGGUCUCUACUGGUUCCUCUGCCUCCUCGGCUCUGCCGAACAGAAAGGCAAGAAUGCAGCCCAGCUUUCCGGCGGAUCUAUCUCCGCCGAGAAAGUCCAGGACAAGUAUCGCCAAUACUGGUCCUUUUUCCACUCUCCUAAACAAAUCGAGACCAUCGACAAGGUUCCUGCCUUCGUCGACACCUUCUACAAUCUAGUUACAGAUAUCUACGAGUGGGGUUGGGGCCAGUCCUUCCAUUUCUCUCCUUCCGUUCCUGGGAAAUCCCACCGCGACGCCACUCGCCUCCAUGAGGAAUUCGCCGUCGAUCAGCUCAAUGUCAAGCCCGGUGACAGAGUACUCGACGCCGGUUGCGGAGUCGGUGGUCCCAUGCGGGCAAUCGCCGCUCAUUCUGGGGCCAGUGUUGUUGGUAUCACGAUCAAUGACUAUCAGGUGGAUCGAGCCCGCUUGCACAAUAAGAAAGCGGGGUUGGAUAAACUGUGCGAGGUUGUUUGUGGGAAUUUCUUGCAAAUGCAGUUUAAUGAUAAUAGUUUCGAUGGAGCUUACUCUAUUGAAGCUACCUGCCACGCUCCAAGGCUUGAAGAUGUGUAUGCCGAGAUUUAUCGGGUUUUGAAGCCCGGUUCUUUUUAUGUAUCGUACGAAUGGGUCACUACAGAUUUGUAUAAAUCGGAGGAUCCAACCCAUGUGGAGAUAAUUCAAGGAAUAGAGCGAGGAGAUGCACUGCCUGGGUUAAGGAGUUACAGUGACAUUGCUGAGAUUGCAAAGAAAGUUGGAUUUCAGGUGCUGAGGGAGAAGGAUUUGGCGAAGCCGCCGUCGAGGCCGUGGUGGUCGAGGUUGAAGAUGGGAAGGAUUGCAUAUUGGAGGAAUCACAUUUUGGUUACUGUGCUUGCAUGGCUGGGGAUUGCCCCUAAAGGGGUUGUGGAUGUUCAUGAAAUGCUGUAUCAUACUGCCAAUUAUUUGACUAAAGGGGGGGAGACUGGGAUUUUUACUCCUAUGCAUAUGAUAUUGUGCAAGAAACCAGAGUCUACCACUGAGUCUGAGUCGUAGGUUAUCCUGAUGGUGUUUUGAGUUCGUUUCAUGGAGCUUCUGCUUUGGUUCUCUCUCCCUCUCCUUCUCUCGUUUCAUUUUAACUCUCGCUGAUUGCUUUUUUUUUUUUUCCUUAGAAAUAUUGGUUUCAGACUUUUGGUUUUAGCUUGGCAAUUGGAUUGUCUCUAGUUCUGUAGUUCACUUAGUGGAAUGUAUUGGUUCAUAGUUAUUGAUUAAGGGAAUUGGGUUGAGGAGGGCUAUCAAAGAUAAAGUCUUUGGGAUUGUGUCUAAUUGUAGUAGAGGAAGGGUGGUGAAGAAAACAUGAAAUUUUGCCCUCUUAAGUUGAGAGAAGUUCCUCUAAUUUAUUAUUUCUUGAUCUUGUAUAAGCUCUUUCUAAUAAUCAAUGGAAGAGUGUUUAUUAUAUUAUGAUUUUGAAUCUAAGUUUGGUUGAUCUGCUCGAGAUAUGUGCUAUGGCUGGUAAACUUGGUGGUUUUGUUUGGGUUUAAGCUGCAAAUGACAACCUCACAUAGCAUAUACUAUGUACUGUUUCUCUUAAAAUAGUUUUUAAGAUGGUAUUGGUUAGACAUACCACGUGAUGCAGCUAGUUGUAUGAGGUAGUGUUAUGUCAGAGUCACUUGUGGUCCUAUUGUGGUUGAACAUAGAGAGAGACUGUUACUAAGAUGCUAUGCAGUUUUUAGUAUGAGAAUAGCUGGAGUUAUUAAUUCUUGAAUGGUAGGAUAUGGAUUGAACAUACAAAG